GACGAACGCUGGCGGCGUGCUUAACACAUGCAAGUCGAACGGAAAGGUCCUGCUUUUGUGCGGUGCUCGAGUGGCGAACGGGUGAGUAACACGUGAGUAACCUGUCCUUGACUUUGGGAUAACUUCAUGAAACUGGGGCUAAUACCGGAUAGGAGCUCCUGCUGCUUGGUGGGGGUUGGAAAGUUUCGGCGGUUGGGGAUGGACGCGCGGCCUAUCAGCUUGUUCGUGGGGUAGUGGCUUACCAAGGCAUUGACAGGUAGCCGGCCUGAGAGGGUGACAGGCCACAUUGGGACUGAGAUACGGCCCAGACUCCUACGGGAGGCAGCAGUGGGGAAUAUUGCACAAUGGGCGGAAGCAUGAUGUAGCAACGCCGCGUGCGGGGAGACGGCAUUCGGGUUGUAAACCGCUUUCGCCUGUGACGAAGCGUGAGUGACGGUAAUGGGUAAAGAAGCACCGGCUAACUACGUG
rnacentral:rRNA from 1 species